rnacentral:rRNA from 1 species
UGGGGAAUUUUGGACAAUGGACGCAAGUCUGAUCCAGCCAUGCCGCGUGCGGGAAGAAGGCCUUCGGGUUGUAAACCGCUUUUGUCAGGGAAGAAACGAGUUUCUCUAAUACAGAGACUUAAUGACGGUACCUGAAGAAUAAGCACCGGCUAACUACGUGCCAGCAGCCGCGGUAAUACGUAGGGUGCAAGCGUUAAUCGGAAUUACUGGGCGUAAAGCGUGCGCAGGCGGUUAUGCAAGACAGAUGUGAAAUCCCCGGGCUCAACCUGGGAACUGCAUUUGUGACUGCAUAGCUGGAGUGCGGCAGAGGGGGAUGGAAUUCCGCGUGUAGCAGUGAAAUGCGUAGAUAUGUGGAGGAACACCGAUGGCGAAGGCAAUCCCCUGGGCCUGUACUGACGCUCAUGCACGAAAGCGUGGGGAGCAAACA